AACAGGAUUAGAUACCCUGGUAGUCCACACCGUAAACUAUGAUCACUAGAUUUUGGCCGUAAGGUCAGAGUCCAAGCGAAAGUGUUUAGUGAUCCACCUGGGGAGUACGACCGCAAGGUUGAAACUCAAAGGAAUUGACGGGGGCCCGCACAAGCGGUGGAGCAUGUGGUUUAAUUCGAUGAUACGCGAGGAACCUUACCUGGGCUUGAAAGUUAGUGACCGCUCCUGAAAGGGAGCCUUCCGCAAGGACACGAAACUAGGUGCUGCAUGGCUGUCGUCAGCUCGUGCCGUGAGGUGUCGGAUUAAGUUCCAUAACGAGCGCAACCCCUAUCUCUAGUUGCCAGCGGGUAAUGCCGGGGACUCUAGAGAAACUGCCCGUGUAAGCGGUGAGGAAGGUGGGGAUGACGUCAAGUCAUCACGGCCCUUACGUCCAGGGCGACACACGUGCUACAAUGGUAGGGACAGUGAGUUGCAAGCCAGCAAUGGUGAGCUAAUCUAUAAGCCCUAUCUCAGUUCGGAUCGAGGUCUGCAACCCGACCUCGUGAAGCUGGAAUCGCUAGUAAUCGGAUAUCAGCCAUGAUCCGGUGAAUACGUUCCCGGGCCUUGUACACACCGCCCGUCAAGCCAUGGAAAUUGGGAGUGCCUAAAGUCGGCCACCGUAAGGAGCUGCCUAAGGCAAUACCAGUAACUGGGGCUAAGUCGUAACAAGGUAACC
rnacentral:rRNA from 1 species